GACGAACGCUGACGGCGUGCUUAACACAUGCAAGUCGAACGGUGAAGCGCCUUCCUUUUUGGUUGGUGUGGUUGCGUGGCGAACGGGUGCGUAACACGUGAGUAACCUUCCCCCUGCUUCUGGAUAACCGCAUGAAAGUUUGUCUAAUACGGGAUCUCCUGGUUCUGUCGCAUGAUGGGUCUGGGAAAGAUAUUGUUUCGGUGGGGAUGGGCUCGCGGCCUAUCAGCUUGGUGGUGGGGUGCUGGGCUUCCGAGGCGGUGGCGGGUAGCCGGCCUGAGAGGGUGGACGGUCACAGUGGGACUGAGACACGGCCCAGACUCCUACGGGAGGCAGCAGUGGGGAAUAUUGCACAAUGGGCGAAAGCCUGAUGCAGCGACGCCGCGUGAGGGAUGGAGGCCUUCGGGUUGUGAACCUCUUUCGCGAGUGAAGCAGGCCUGCCUCGUUUGUGGGUGGGUUGACGGUAGCUGGAUAAGAAGCGCCGGCUAACUACGUG
rnacentral:rRNA from 1 species